GACAAACGCUGGCGGCGUGCUUAACACAUGCAAGUCGAACGGAAAGGCCCUGCUUUUGUGGGGUGCUCGAGUGGCGAACGGGUGAGUAACACGUGAGUAACCUGCCCUUGACUUUGGGAUAACUUCAGGAAACUGGGGCUAAUACCGGAUAGGAGCUCCUGCUGCAUGGUGGGGGUUGGAAAGUUUCGGCGGUUGGGGAUGGACUCGCGGCUUAUCAGCUUGUUGGUGGGGUAGUGGCUUACCAAGGCUUUGACGGGUAGCCGGCCUGAGAGGGUGACCGGCCACAUUGGGACUGAGAUACGGCCCAGACUCCUACGGGAGGCAGCAGUGGGGAAUAUUGCACAAUGGGCGGAAGCCUGAUGCAGCAACGCCGCGUGCGGGAUGACGGCCUUCGGGUUGUAAACCGCUUUCGCCUGUGACGAAGCGUGAGUGACGGUAAUGGGUAAAGAAGCACCGGCUAACUACGU
rnacentral:rRNA from 1 species